rnacentral:lncRNA from 1 species
UCAAUGCCUCAAUGCACUAAUGCCAAAUGCAUAAAGUCUACAACAUGACAAUUGGGAAAAUCUACUAUCCCUAGGUUCAAAUGCCAUAGUGUUCUACUACACUAGAUUUGAUGCCACUCAUUUAUGUCAUGAUAUUAUAUGCGUCUCAAUACACUAAAUUGACAUGCCACUCGUUUUUGUUAUAGUGUCUCUAUUACACUAAUCCAAAUGCCACUCAUCUAGGCCAAUUAUAUGUCCAAGUUCAUCAUCAUUCUUGUCACUAUAGGAUUCUUGUCACUAGACCCAAUCCUCAUGUCACCUAAGAUUAAGUGUCAAGCCCACGAUGCUACACAACAUAGGAAACAUGCAAGGAAUGGAAACAUAAUCAUCUACUAAUCCU